UAUUCCUUUGGCCGAACAAAAUAGAAGUAGGAAAAAAAAGUUUAUGCCACGGAUCAAAUUUUUCUUUCUUUCCUAUCUCUCUCUCUCUUUCUCUCUCUCGAUCUAAGUCCAGAAUUGACAAAGAAAGGAGAGGGAAUCAAACGCUAUGGAAUCAGAGGAGAUCUGAAGCGGAGGAGAUUUCUCUUCUUCUUCUUCUCUCAAAUCCACGGUAGAAGAAACAUGGCUACAAAGCAGAACGAAAGCGAAUUCGGAGUAUAAGAACUUGGGUGAUCACGCCGAGUCAGUAUAGGUAAUGUUGUUGAUCUUCCUAGUGAUGUUGGCAUUUCUGUGAAGUUCUCCCCUUCUAGGUAUGGUGAGGAUAUAGAGGAGGCUAGUUCUCUUUUGCUUUAUUUUUGCGAAGGAUGGCUUUUAAUCUACAGUCUUCUUUGUAACCUCCUUGGUGGUUUCUUCCCUUAUCCUUGGAGAUUUGAUUAGUUUUUCUCCCCUUUCUCUUUUUGAUUUUCUGAUUUUGUGAUCUGCAAUUUUUAUAUUGUUUAAAGGCUUAUCACUUCUGCUUGGCAUGGUGUUUUCCCUUUGUAUAUGAAUUCAUAUUUUUUGAUGAUGAAAUAGAGGUUUUGUUUCAACCUG